rnacentral:rRNA from 1 species
UACGGAGGGGGCGAGCGUUAUUCGGAAUUAUUGGGCGUAAAGGGCGCGUAGGCGGCUGUACAAGUCAAAGGUGAAAUCCCUCGGCUCAACUGAGGAACUGCCUUUGAAACUGUACGGCUUGAGGCCGGGAGGGGGUAGCGGAAUUCCCAGUGUAGCGGUGAAAUGCGUAGAUACUGGGAGGAACACCAGUGGCGAAGGCGGCUACCUGGACCGGUUCUGACGCUGAGGAGCGAAAGCGUGGGGAGCGAACAGG